UAUAAUGAAUAGUUUGUAGAAGCCAAG
rnacentral:piRNA from 1 species